UACGUAGGGCGCAAGCGUUGUCCGGAAUUAUUGGGCGUAAAGAGCUCGUAGGCGGCUUGUCACGUCGGGUGUGAAAGCCCGGGGCUUAACCCCCGGGUCUGCAUUCGAUACGGGCAGGCUAGAGUGUGGUAGGGGAGAUCGGAAUUCCUGGUGUAGCGGUGAAAUGCGCAGAUAUCAGGAGGAACACCGGUGGCGAAGGCGGAUCUCUGGGCCAUUACUGACGCUGAGGAGCGAAAGCGUGGGGAGCGAACGGG
rnacentral:rRNA from 1 species